CCUCCGAUUGCUUAGUGGUAGAGCAAAGGAUUGUAGGUGUCAUAGAGCAAUCUUUAAUUUGGUGGUUCAACUCCAGCUCAAAGGA
rnacentral:tRNA from 1 species